GACGAACGCUGGCGGCGUGCCUAAUACACGCAAGUCGAGCGCAGGAAACUGACGGAACUCUUCGGAGGGAAGGCAGUGGAAUGAGCGGCGGACGGGUGAGUAACACGUAAGGAACCUGCCUCAAGGAUUGGGAUAACUCCGAGAAAUCGGAGCUAAUACCGGAUAGUUCAACGGACCGCAUGGUCCGCUGAUGAAAGGCGCUCCGGCGUCACCUUGAGAUGGCCUUGCGGUGCAUUAGCUAGUUGGUGGGGUAACGGCCCACCAAGGCGACGAUGCAUAGCCGACCUGGGAGGGUGAUCGGCCACACUGGGACUGAGACACGGCCCAGACUCCUACGGGAGGCAGCAGUAGGGAAUCUUCCACAAUGGACGAAAGUCUGAUGGAGCAACGCCGCAUGAGUGAUGAAGGUUUUCGGAUCGUAAAACUCUGUUGUAAGGGAAGAACACGUACGAGAGGGAAUGCUCGUACCUUGACGGUACCUUACGAGAAAGCCACGGCUAACUACGUGCCAGCCGCCGCCGUAAGAC
rnacentral:rRNA from 1 species